AGGCGUCGACGGGUAGCCGGCCUGAGAGGGUGACCGGCCACACUGGGACUGAGACACGGCCCAGAMUCCUACGGGAGGCAGCAGUGGGGAAUAUUGCACAAUGGGCGGAAGCCUGAUGCAGCAACGCCGCGUGAGGGAUGACGGCCUUCGGGUUGUAAACCUCUUUUAGCAGGGAAGAAGCGAGAGUGACGGUACCUGCAGAAAAAGCGCCGGCUAACUACGUGCCAGCAGCCGCGGUAAUACGUAGGGCGCAAGCGUUAUCCGGAAUUAUUGGGCGUAAAGAGCUCGUAGGCGGUUUGUCGCGUCUGCUGUGAAAUCCCGAGGCUCAACCUCGGGCCUGCAGUGGGUACGGGCAGACUAGAGUGCGGUAGGGGAGAUUGGAAUUCCUGGUGUAGCGGUGGAAUGCGCAGAUAUCAGGAGGAACACCGAUGGCGAAGGCAGAUCUCUGGGCCGUAACUGACGCUGAGGAGCGAAAGGGUGGGGAGCAAACAGGCUUAGAUACCCUGGUAGUCCACCCCGUAAACGUUGGGAACUAGUUGUGGGGACCAUUCCACGGUUUCCGUGACGCAGCUAACGCAUUAAGUUCCCCGCCUGGGGAGUACGG
rnacentral:rRNA from 1 species